UACGUAGGGUGCAAGCGUUGUCCGGAAUUACUGGGCGUAAAGAGUUCGUAGGCGGUUUGUCGCGUCGUUUGUGAAAACCAGCAGCUCAACUGCUGGCUUGCAGGCGAUACGGGCAGACUUGAGUACUGCAGGGGAGACUGGAAUUCCUGGUGUAGCGGUGAAAUGCGCAGAUAUCAGGAGGAACACCGGUGGCGAAGGCGGGUCUCUGGGCAGUAACUGACGCUCAUGCACGAAAGCGUGGGGAGCAAACAGG
rnacentral:rRNA from 1 species